rnacentral:lncRNA from 1 species
UAAUUGCCUGUCAAAACACUUAAUUGCAUUUGAGAAACCUUGUGUCCAUCUUUCUUGUUGACAGGGGUCCUCAGAUUUCUUUUCUUAGAUCCAGAACUCUCAGCUGAUACAGGCUUCAGUCCGUGUGAGCAAUGGACAAGCUGUCACUGCCCGUUACAUUUUGGAUGAUGCCACGAGACUCUUCUACGUUGGGGGAAAGUUGGCAUUGGAAAAAGGAGCAUCUGCUUUCCCUGAGCAGCUUAAAGAACCGACAGCGUCCUAAUGCAGCCUUAGCGGCC